rnacentral:rRNA from 1 species
AGACCCGAAACCCGGUGAUCUAGCCAUGGGCAGGUUGAAGGUUGGGUAACACUAACUGGAGGACCGAACCGACUAAUGUUGAAAAAUUAGCGGAUGACUUGUGGCUGGGGGUGAAAGGCCAAUCAAACCGGGAGAUAGCUGGUUCUCCCCGAAAGCUAUUUAGGUAGCGCCUCGUGAAUUCAUCUCCGGGGGUAGAGCACUGUUUCGGCAAGGGGGUCAUCCCGACUUACCAACCCGAUGCAAACUGCGAAUACCGGAGAAUGUUAUCACGGGAGACACACGGCGGGUGCUAACGUCCGUCGUGAAGAGGGAAACAACCCAGACCGCCAGCUAAGGUCCCAAAGUCAUGGUUAAGUGGGAAACGAUGUGGGAAGGCCCAGACAGCCAGGAUGUUGGCUUAGAAGCAGCCAUCAUUUAAAGAAAGCGUAAUAGCUCACUGGUCGAGUCGGCCUGCGCGGAAGAUGUAACGGGGCUAAACCAUGCACCGAAGCUGCGGCAGCGACACUGUGUGUUGUUGGGUAGGGGAGCGUUCUGUAAGCCUGUGAAGGUGUGCUGUGAGGCAUGCUGGAGGUAUCAGAAGUGCGAAUGCUGACAUAAGUAACGAUAAAGCGGGUGAAAAGCCCGCUCGCCGGAAGACCAAGGGUUCCUGUCCAACGUUAAUCGGGGCAGGGUGAGUCGACCCCUAAGGCGAGGCCGAAAGGCGUAGUCGAUGGGAAACAGGUUAAUAUUCCUGUACUUGGUGUUACUGCGAAGGGGGGACGGAGAAGGCUAUGUUGGCCGGGCGACGGUUGUCCCGGUUUAAGCGUGUAGGCUGGUUUUCCAGGCAAAUCCGGAAAAUCAAGGCUGAGGCGUGAUGACGAGGCACUACGGUGCUGAAGCAACAAAUGCCCUGCUUCCAGGAAAAGCCUCUAAGCAUCAGGUAACAUCAAAUCGUACCCCAAACCGACACAGGUGGUCAGGUAGAGAAUACCAAGGCGCUUGAGAGAACUCGGGUGAAGGAACUAGGCAAAAUGGUGCCGUAACUUCGGGAGAAGGCACGCUGAUAUGUAGGUGAAGUCCCUCGCGGAUGGAGCUGAAAUCAGUCGAAGAUACCAGCUGGCUGCAACUGUUUAUUAAAAACACAGCACUGUGCAAACACGAAAGUGGACGUAUACGGUGUGACGCCUGCCCGGUGCCGGAAGGUUAAUUGAUGGGGUCAGCGCAAGCGAAGCUCUUGAUCGAAGCCCCGGUAAACGGCGGCCGUAACUAUAACGGUCCUAAGGUAGCGAAAUUCCUUGUCGGGUAAGUUCCGACCUGCACGAAUGGCGUAAUGAUGGCCAGGCUGUCUCCACCCGAGACUCAGUGAAAUUGAACUCGCUGUGAAGAUGCAGUGUACCCGCGGCAAGACGGAAAGACCCCGUGAACCUUUACUAUAGCUUGACACUGAACAUUGAGCCUUGAUGUGUAGGAUAGGUGGGAGGCUUUGAAGUGUGGACGCCAGUCUGCAUGGAGCCGACCUUGAAAUACCACCCUUUAAUGUUUGAUGUUCUAACGUGGACCCGUGAUCCGGGUUGCGGACAGUGUCUGGUGGGUAGUUUGACUGGGGCGGUCUCCUCCUAAAGAGUAACGGAGGAGCACGAAGGUUGGCUAAUCCUGGUCGGACAUCAGGAGGUUAGUGCAAUGGCAUAAGCCAGCUUGACUGCGAGCGUGACGGCGCGAGCAGGUGCGAAAGCAGGUCAUAGUGAUCCGGUGGUUCUGAAUGGAAGGGCCAUCGCUCAACGGAUAAAAGGUACUCCGGGGAUAACAGGCUGAUACCGCCCAAGAGUUCAUAUCGACGGCGGUGUUUGGCACCUCGAUGUCGGCUCAUCACAUCCUGGGGCUGAAGUAGGUCCCAAGGGUAUGGCUGUUCGCCAUUUAAAGUGGUACGCGAGCUGGGUUUAGAACGUCGUGAGACAGUUCGGUCCCUAUCUGCCGUGGGCGCUGGAGAACUGAGGGGGGCUGCUCCUAGUACGAGAGGACCGGAGUGGACGCAUCACUGGUGUUCGGGUUGUCAUGCCAAU